ensembl:rRNA 5S_rRNA 5S ribosomal RNA
GUCGGCAGCUAGCUCUCUGCAACUCUCACAUAGUCGCCCAUUAAAGCUAAGCAGAGCUGAGCCUGGUCAGUACAUGGAUGGCAGACUACAUGGGAAAGCUAGGUUGCUGCUGGAA